CCUGUAUAUGAUGUUAAUAUGUAACUUGCUUCAUUGACUUUGCAGCAUUUCGACGGAUAUGGGUAUCAUGGAACCUCAUUUGAGCAGACAUAUCGAUGUUACCCUUCAUCCUUUAUCGAUAAGCCACAACUUGAGAGUGGGGAUAAAACAUCUCUACAUAUAGAUUAUCCGAUGUUGUUUGAGCUUCGAAAUGACCCUGCAGAGAGGGUCUCUCACUAUGGGGUGUUAGAGUUCGUAGCAGAGGAAGGCACGAUCUAUAUGCC